UACGUAGGGUGCAAGCGUUAAUCGGAAUUACUGGGCGUAAAGCGUGCGCAGGCGGUUUUGUAAGACAGAUGUGAAAUCCCCGGGCUUAACCUGGGAACUGCAUUUGUGACUGCAAGACUAGAGUGUGUCAGAGGGGGGUGGAAUUCCACGUGUAGCAGUGAAAUGCGUAGAGAUCGGGAGGAACACCGGAGCGAAGGCGGCCAGCUGGCCCUGACCUGGACGCUGAGGCGCGAAGGCGUGGGGAGCGAACGGG
rnacentral:rRNA from 1 species